GGAAAAUGCAGACAACUGCCUGGGGUGGGAAGAGGCUUUCCUGUAGAGUGUUCCUGCAGUGGCAUUGCUACUGAAAAGCUUCUUCAUCCUCUGUGACUCUAUGACCAAGACAAGGCACAGCAGUACUGGGAAGGCAGUGGAGUUGCCCAGCACAUGCUAAGAGUAGGGUGCCAGCAGGUUUAACUCUGCCCUGGCCAGCAGCUGGCACAACAGAAUCCUGGAUUUCCACAGCUCUCUGAACAUUUCCAAGAGAGAUACAUUGAUGAAUAAUGAGAUGUGACUGUCUGGGAAAUGGCUUGCAACACUGCUGUAAGGAAUAUUUCUGGAUGAAGUCUUCAUGAGGCCGCUGAAGAGUAAAAUAACCAAUCCUCUCUUAGCUGUACUCAUCAGCCUCAAGGUUGCAGCAAGUCAGGUGGAGCAUCUUCUUGACCCUCUGCACCUUCUUGAAGGAGAAAAAGAGAGCAGCAAGCAGCCUGGCACAGAGCAGAGUAUGGCUUCUUAAAAGUGAGCACCGUGCUCAGGAGUUGUGAGCGAGCAAGCACAAAGGUGUGUAAAGUGGGGAAUGUUGGAUGUUGGCCCUUUCCAGUGGGUAAGGAGCUGGAUUUCUGCAUCUCUGCUGCAAGGAGAAGCUCAGAACUGGGCUGGACUCACAAGUGUUUUGGGGCCAUGUGGCUGUGCCUGCAGCAAUGCAGCAGAUGUGACUCACCACGGCUGGUGCCACGGUGAUGGGUGACACAGAGCCCAAGUGCUGCAGAUUUAUGUCACUGGCAACAGAGGGAAUAUCACUGCUGAUGUGAUGCCCACAGAGGGUUAUCUGUUUUCUUUAUGUUUAUUGAGUUUUUUUCAACAUGCCACAUGAUGCAGACAUUUAUGGAGAGAUGAAAUAAAAUCUGUUUGAUCAAAUAGCUCCUCAAGGUCAUAUAUAAAACAUGAACUCAAAUAGAUUUAAUUGGGAGAGGAGAAACAGCC